rnacentral:rRNA from 1 species
UACAGAGGGUGCGAGCGUUGUUCGGAAUUACUGGGCGUAAAGCGCGCGCAGGCGGCUCUUUAAGUCUACCCGUGAAAUGCCGGAGCUCAACUCCGUGCACGCCGGGGGAUACUGGGGGGCUGGAGACAUGUAGAGGCAAGCGGAAUUCCCGGUGUAGUGGUGGAAUGCGUAGAUAUCGGGAGGAACACCAGUGGCGAAGGCGGCUUCCUGGACCGGUUCUGACACUGAGGAGCGAAAGCGUGGGGAGCGAUCCGG